rnacentral:rRNA from 1 species
UACGGAAGGCAGCAGUGGGGAAUAUUGCACAAUGGGCGAAAGCCUGAUGCAGCUAUGCCGCGUGUAUGAAGAAGGCCUUAGGGUUGUAAAGUACUUUCAUCGGGGAGGAAAAAACAAAACUAAUAAUUUUAUUUCUUGACGUUACCCGAAAAAGAAGCACCGGCUAACUCCGUGCCAGCAGCCGCGGUAAUACGGAGGGUGCUAGCGUUAAUCAGAAUUACUGGGCGUAAAGAGCACGUAGGUGGUUUUUUUAAGUCAGAUGUGAAAUCCCUGGGCUUUAACCUAGGAACUGCAUUUUGAAACUGAAAUACUAGAGUAUCGUAGAGGGAGGUAGAAUUCUAGGUGUAGCGGUGAAAUGCGUAGAUAUCUGGAGGAAUACCUGUGGCGAAAGCGGCCUCCUAAACGAAUACUGACACUGAGGUGCGAAAGCGUGGGGAGCGAAACAGGGAUUAGAUACC